rnacentral:lncRNA from 1 species
UAAGUCCAUCUCUUCAGUUUCAGGGAUGGAGAGAGGAAGAUGUAACCUUGGAAGCGGAAGGACACAAUUUAUAGGAUAAUCCCACUCAUGACAAAAGAGGAAGCUUUGGAGGGUGGAGAAUAACCCAGUUGAAAAUCUACAAGCAAUGCUGUCCACAUCCCAAAUAGACUGGUCAAAAAGCCUUCAUCCCGUCAGUCACUGACAUCAACUUCAUCCAAAUCAGACUCCUAAAAACCCGGCCUAACUUAUGUGUCAUGCAAAGGAUGGCUCUUGGAAAAAUGCAAAGAAGCAGGGGCCGCUAAGGGAGAGAUGUGAAGGUCAAGGAAGCUCUGAGCUCCUGACAGCCGCCCUUCCAGCCUUCUCCUGCCUUCCAUAGAGAGAUGCUAUGGACUCUUGGUCCAGAGACUCAAAUUCAAGGAAAAGAAGAGGCAACAUUUGCAGUGUUGAUCCUUGAGUUGAACAAAGAGUGGUCAGGAGAAGAAACCAACAAGAAAUGUAACCUACCUCCAGAACUCAGGAACUCAG